AUUGAACGCUGGCGGCAGGCCUAACACAUGCAAGUCGAACGAGUGGCGGACGGGUGAGUAAUGUCUGGGAAACUGCCUGUAGGAGGGGGAUAACUUCUGGAAACGGUAGCUAAUCCCGCAUACCAUCAGAUGGGCCCGGAUGGGAUUAGCUAGUUGGUGGGGUAACGGCUCACCAAGGCGACGAUCCCUAGCCGGUCGGAGAGGAUGACCAGCCACACUGGAACUGAGACACGGUCCAGACUCCUACGUGAGGCAGCAGUGGGGAAUAUUGCACAAUGGGCGCAAGCCUGAUGCAGCCAUGCCGCGUGUAUGAAGAAGGCCUUCGGGUUGUAAAGUACUUUCAGCGGGGAGGCGUUACCCGAAGAAGAAGCACCGGCUAACUCCGUGCCAGCAGCCGCGGUAAUUC
rnacentral:rRNA from 1 species